rnacentral:rRNA from 1 species
GACGAACGCUGGCGGCGUGCCUAAUACAUGCAAGUCGAGCGAUGCGGGGACGGGUGAGUAACACGUGGAUAACCUCCUAUACGUCUGGCAUAACUUGGGGAAACCCGAGCCAAACUGGAUACUUAUUGUUGGUUCCUGGCUGGAUUAGCUAUGUGGUAAGGUAACGGCUUCCCAAGGCCACGAGGCAGAGCCGACCUGUGAGGGUGAUCGGCCAACCUGGGACUGAGACACGGCCCAGACUCCUACGGGAGGCAGCAGUAGUGAGUCUUCCGCAAUGGACGAAAGCCUGACCGCGCAACGCCGCGUGAGUGAUGAAGGUCUUCGGAUCGUAAAACUCUGUUGUUAGAGAAGCGGUAUCUAAUCAGAAAGCCACGGGUAACUACGUGCCAGCAGCCGCGGUAAUUC